AUUGAACGCUGGCGGCAGGCCUAACACAUGCAAGUCGAACGAGUGGCGGACGGGUGAGUAAUGUCUGGGAAACUGCCUGAUGGAGGGGGAUAACUACUGGAAACGGUAGCUAAUACCGCAUACCAUCAGAUGUGCCCAGAUGGGAGUAGCUAGUUGGUGGGGUAACGGCUCACCAAGGCGACGAUCCCUAGCUGGUCUGAGAGGAUGACCAGCCGCCCUGCAACUGGUGCACGGUCCAGACUCCUACGGGAGGCAGCGGUGGGGAAUGUUGCACAAUGGGAGCAAGCCUGAAGCAGCCAUGCCGCGUGUAUGAAGAAGGCCUUCGGGUUGUAAAGUACUUUCAGCGGGGAGGCGUUACCUGCAGAAGAAGCACCGGCUAACUCCGUGCCAGCAGCCGCGGUAAUUC
rnacentral:rRNA from 1 species